AUGCUUGGGAACUUGCCUUUGCGAGGGGGAUAACAGUUGGAAACGACUGCUAAUACCGCAUAAUGUCUACGGACCAAACGGGGCUUAGGCUCCGGCGCAAAGAGAGGCCCAAGUGAGAUUAGCUAGUUGGUAAGGUAAAGGCUUACCAAGGCAACGAUCUCUAGCUGUUCUGAGAGGAAGAUCAGCCACACUGGGACUGAGACACGGCCCAGACUCCUACGGGAGGCAGCAGUGGGGAAUAUUGCACAAUGGGGGAAACCCUGAUGCAGCCAUGCCGCGUGUGUGAAGAAGGCCUUCGGGUUGUAAAGCACUUUCAGUUGUGAGGAAAAGUUAGUAGUUAAUACCUGCUAGCCGUGACGUUAACAACAGAAGAAGCACCGGCUAACUCCGUGCCAGCAGCCGCGGUAAUACGGAGGGUGCGAGCGUUAAUCGGAAUUACUGGGCGUAAAGCGCACGCAGGCGGUUUGUUAAGCUAGAUGUGAAAGCCCCGGGCUCAAC
rnacentral:rRNA from 1 species